rnacentral:rRNA from 1 species
UGGGGAAUAUUGCACAAUGGGCGCAAGCCUGAUGCAGCGACGCCGCGUGAGGGAUGGAGGCCUUCGGGUUGUAAACCUCUUUUAUCGGGGAGCAAGCGAGAGUGAGUUUACCCGUUGAAUAAGCACCGGCUAACUACGUGCCAGCAGCCGCGGUAAUACGUAGGGUGCAAGCGUUAUCUGGAAUUAUUGGGCGUAAAGGGCUCGUAGGCGGUUCGUCGCGUCCGGUGUGAAAGUCCAUCGCUUAACGGUGGAUCCGCGCCGGGUACGGGCGGGCUUGAGUGCGGUAGGGGAGACUGGAAUUCCCGGUGUAACGGUGGAAUGUGUAGAUAUCGGGAAGAACACCAAUGGCGAAGGCAGGUCUCUGGGCCGUUACUGACGCUGAGGAGCGAAAGCGUGGGGAGCGAACAGGAUUAGAUACCCUGGUAGUCCACGCCGUAAACGGUGGAUGCUGGAUGUGGGGCCCGUUCCACGGGUUCCGUGUCGGAGCUAACGCGUUAAGCAUCCCGCCUGGGGAGUACGGCCGCAAGGCUAAAACUCAAAGAAAUUGACGGGGGCCCGCACAAGCGGCGGAGCAUGCGGAUUAAUUCGAUGCAACGCGAAGAACCUUACCUGGGCUUGACAUGUUCCCGACGGUCGUAGAGAUACGGCUUCCCUUCGGGGCGGGUUCACAGGUGGUGCAUGGUCGUCGUCAGCUCGUGUCGUGAGAUGUUGGGUUAAGUCCCGCAACGAGCGCAACCCUCGCCCCGUGUUGCCAGCGGAUUAUGCCGGGAACUCACGGGGGACCGCCGGGGUUAACUCGGAGGAAGGUGGGGAUGACGUCAGAUCAUCAUGCCCCUUACGUCCAGGGCUUCACGCAUGCUACAAUGGCCGGUACAACGGGAUGCGACGCGGCGACGCGGAGCGGAUCCCUGAAAACCGGUCUCAGUUCGGAUCGCAGUCUGCAACUCGACUGCGUGAAGGCGGAGUCGCUAGUAAUCGCGAAUCAGCAACGUCGCGGUGAAUGCGUUCCC